rnacentral:rRNA from 1 species
GCUUGUCUCAAAGAUUAAGCCAUGCAUGUCUAAGUAUAAAUGUUAUACAGUGAAACUGCGAAUGGCUCAUUAAAACAGUUAUAGUUUAUUUGAUAAUCGAAUUUACAUGGAUAACCGUGGUAAUUCUAGAGCUAAUACAUGCUAAGACCGUAAGGUUGUAUUUAUUAGAUAUACCGAGUAGGUGAAUCAUAAUAACUUCGCAAAUCGCAGUAAUACUGCGAUAAAUCAUUCAAGUUUCUGCCCUAUCAUGCUCUCGAUGGUAGUGUAUUGGACUACCAUGGCUCUCACGGGUAACGGGGAAUUAGGGUUCGAUUCCGGAGAAGGAGCCUGAGAAACGGCUACUACAUCUAAGGAAGGCAGCAGG